UGGGUGUAUAUAUGGGGUGUAUGUGUAUAUAUAUGGGUGUAGAUACGUGUAUGUGUGUGUGUAUAUAUAUAUAUGGGCGUAUAUAUGGGGUGUGUGUGUAUAUAUAUGGGUGUAGAUACGUGUGUGUAUAUAUAUGGGGAUAUAUAUAUAAAUAUAUAUAUGGGGUGUGUGUGUGUAUAUAUAUAUAUAUAUAUGGGUGUGCGUGUAUAUACAUGUGUGUGUAUAUGUGUGUAUAUGUGUGUAUGUAUAUGUAUAUAUGGGUGUGUGUGUGUAUGUGUGUAUAUGUGUGUGUGUAUGUGUAUAUAUAUAUAUAUGUGUGUGUGUGUAUAUAUUUAUGGCUGUAGUAUGUUGUCAGUGACGCGAUCGAAGGCCCUGCACGUUUGGAGGGGCGCUAAGCGCUGCCAGGCAGCUCGGGGCCGUCCCGUGAGCUCUUGGGGAAGCUGCGUUUUUAGAGCAGAGCCCGUCAGCCUAACGUCGCUGCCAGAGCUCAGACCGGAGCAGUGUCGGAAGCGUUAGAGCUGUAGGAAAAAGGGACUGUAGAGACUUUUACACUCACGCCUUUACCAUCUUGCUCCUUACACACUGCAGGUUUUGCACAGCGGCUCUGGAGUACCGUGACGGCUGUGCCUGCAUCUGCCUGUCGCCACCUUCCAGCGUGACUUCUCGGGACUUCGAAACUGGCAGCGCGUGUGCAUAAAGGACCGAGGUUGGACAAGAGCCUGCCCUCGUCUGGACUCGUCCCACAUCUGACUGUAGACCAUAGUCUAUGGAAGAAACGAGGCGGCCUGCAGGUACGGUAGUCACCGCGCCAGGACGUAGCGGUGCUACUGCCCGCAAGUGCAGCCAGAGGUUCUUCCUCCAUUCACACGUGGAAGAAGCGGUGUGUUAAACCCACCAUAGCGAAGGUGUAGAGGCACCUGCUGAAGGAUGUGGCUAUGGUAGAGGGGAAGCGUAAGAUGGAGACCCUUGCAUACGGGAUGUCACUCCGCCGCUGUCAUCACAGAAGGCCCAUCUGCAUUUUAGAGUUGCCCUUGGAGCUGGAGCUGUCACCUGGAAACCAGACGCGCGGUGCAACGUGUAAGGAGCAACGCGAUGGGAAAGGGUUCACGUGCAAGAUCUAUGGCUGUAGCUGCAUCCAGAGCACCAAGAGGAAAAAUGCAGCCGGGUGUCCUAAUGAGGGGACAGGUGUGACCCGGUCUAAUUGUGCAGGAUUGUAUUAUACUAUGUGUGUAUGCUCGUAUGGAAGGUGUUUAAGACGUGCCUCUGUCUUAGAAGUCCUUAGUGUAGCUCAGCGUUGGAGCACAACUUCCAUUAAAGAAGCAGACGUAGAAGGUUUAUGAAGUUUUAUUGAGAGCUUUGCACCAGCCCCGCCAUUGUGCUCGGCGUAACCAACACCAGCGAUGUAACUGAGCCCGGAGCAGGAACUGCUUUACAGACAGCGUCGUUCAUAUUCUGGUUGCUUACAGAAGGAAAGCAGCUUUGAUAGAGUCGGAGAAGACCCGGGCUUCUUGGCACCUUUUGUGGCUCAGAGAUGUCCGUAGGAAGCGAGCGUUGCUGUAGGAGAAAAUGGAGGGUAAUUUAGAAAUGUGUUUGUUCACUUCUGGAGUUCUUGUAUAAAACCUAUUAAGUUCUAGAAAGUGUAUAUCUGUGCCUUAUUGAGCUUAUACACAGUUUUGCAUAUAAAAGUUAGAAGUGUAUAUCUUUUCUAUGCAACUUUUACAAGAACUUAUACACUUUUUAAAAGUUACUAUAUAUAUUAUGUAACUUUUAGGUUUGUUUAAAGUUGAAAGAAAUACAGAUAUUAAGUUACACACUUUAUACAGAGAAGUUUAUAUGCAUAAAGUUUAAGAGUUCUACCUUAUAUAUACUUUCACAUAUAAAGUUCUAAAGGUUAUAAAGUUCUGAUUUAUAUAGUGUAAAAUAAAUAAAGCAAAGAACUUAGAAGUUCUUUAUAUGUUUCCAGUGUAAAUGUUAUUAAUUUAUACACUUUAUAAACCUAGGUGUUUCUAAAGUUGUAAAUAAAUAAAACCUAAAAGUAAGAAGGCCUAAGUGAUGAAGUUAUUUAUAUAUAAAUAAACUUACAAAGUGUAUCUAUACUUUAUAAAGUUCUAAGUUCAUAAGGAAGUUCUGAAGUUCAAAAGAGGAAGAUGGUCUAUGUUCUAAAGUGUAUAUAUACAAACCUAUGUAUGCUUUUAAGAGUGAGUGUAUGCUUCAAAUAUAUAUAUUUAAACUUUUUUAAAAAGUUUAAAGGUACACCUUUAUAUAAAGUGUAUAUGUACACUUUCCAAUUUAUAAAGAAAUAAACUUAGCAUUAUAAACCCAGAACUUAUAUAAAAGUUAAAAGUUCUGAAGAUAUACACUUUUAUAUACACGAGUCUAUAGAUUGGGAUAAACUCAAUAACUAAAAUUAUAAACCUAAAACUAGAAGUAACAAGCUAUAAAGUUCUGGAAAGUGUAUAUCUUUAUAGUGUAGCCUACUACAAAGCUUUAUCACUUCUAACCUGUAAAUUAUGAACUUUACAACUUUUAUAAAAAGUUCUAAGUUUACACUUAAUAAGUCCAAGAGUUCUAACUUACCAAGGUCGAUACCUUGAGAAGCUGUAGAAUUUGUGCAGGUUUUAAGCCUCUAAAGUUCUAACUUAGAACUCUUUUUAUAAAGAACUUGGGUUUACCUGAAGUUAUAAACCUAAAAGCGUAUACAGUUAUAAAAAUAUAUAUGGAGAUAUAUAUAUAUAUAUAUAAUUUAGAACUUUUAUAUAAGUUCUGGGUAAGUAAGGAGGGCUCGAGUUCUUCUGACUUCACCAGGUUGAAGUUCUCUAAUUGGAUGUUAGUAAGCUACAGUUCUUAAUAAAGUCCAUAACUUCAGAGUUUGCACCUA